rnacentral:rRNA from 1 species
ACAGGGAUUGCCCUAGUAACGGCGAGUGAAGCGGCAACAGCUCAAAUUUGAAAUCUGGCUCUUUCAGGGUCCGAGUUGUAAUUUGCAGAGGGCGCUUUGGCGUUGGCAGCGGUCCAAGUUCUUUGGAACAGGACGUCACAGAGGGUGAGAAUCCCGUACGUGGUCGCUAUCCUUCGCCGUGUAAAGCCCCUUCGACGAGUCGAGUUGUUUGGGAAUGCAGCUCUAAAUGGGAGGUAAAUUUCUUCUAAAGCUAAAUACUGGCCAGAGACCGAUAGCGCACAAGUAGAGUGAUCGAAAGAUGAAAAGCACUUUGGAAAGAGAGUUAAAUAGCACGUGAAAUUGUUGAAAGGGAAGCGCUUGCAGCCAGACUUGCCUGUAGUUGCUUAUCCGGACUCUUGUCCGGUGCACUCUUCUAUGGGCAGGCCAGCAUCAGUUUGGGCGGUUAGAUAAAGGUCUCUGUCACGUACCUCUCUUCGGAGUGGCCUUAUAGGGGAGACGCCAUGUAACCAGCCCAGACUGAGGUCCGCGCAUCUGCUAGGAUGCUGGCGUAAUGGCUGUAAGCGGCCCGUCUUGAAACACGGACCAAGGAGUCUAACAUCUAUGCGAGUGUUUGGGUGUCAAGCCCAGACGCGUAAUGAAAGUGAACGGAGGUAGGAACCCUUUGGGCGCACUAUCGACCGAUCCUGAUGUCUUCGGAAGGAUUUGAGUAAGAGCAUGGCUGUUGGGACCCGAAAGAUGGUGAACUAUGCUUGAAUAGGGUGAAGCCAGAGGAAACUCUGGUGGAGGCUCGCAGCGGUUCUGACGUGCAAAUCGAUCGUCAAAUUUGGGCAUAGGGGCGAAAGACUAAUCGAACUAUCUAGUAGCUGGUUCCUGCCGAAGUUUCCCUCAGGAUAGCAGUAACGUUUUCAGUUUUAUGAGGUAAAGCGAAUGAUUAGAGGCCUGGGGGCUGAAACAGCCUUCACCUAUUCUCAAACUUUAAAUAUGUAAGAAGUCCUUGUUACUUGAUUGAACGUGGACAUUUGAAUGUAUCGUUACUAGUGGGCCAUUUUUGGUAAGCAGAACUGGCGAUGCGGGAUGAACCGAACGCGGGGUUAAGGUGCCAGAAUAUACGCUCAUCAGACACCACAAAAGGUGUUAGUUCAUCUAGACAGCAGGACGGUGGCCAUGGAAGUCGGAAUCCGCUAAGGAGUGUGUAACAACUCACCUGCCGAAUGAACUAGCCCUGAAAAUGGAUGGCGCUCAAGCGUGUUACCCAUACCCCGCCGCCGGGGCAGAAUUUACGCCCCGGCGAGUAGGCAGGCGUGGAGGCUCGUGACGAAGCCUUGG